GACGAACGCUGGCGGCGUGCUAAACACAUGCAAGUGGAGCGACGAACCAGGGCUUGCCCUGGGGCAAAGCCGCGAACGGGUGAGUAACACGUGGGUAACCUGCCUCGAUGAUCGGGACAACCCGGGGAAACCCGAGCUAAUACCGAAUGUGCCCAGUCCACAUCAGUGGACUGUGUAAAGGAAGCUUCGGCCCCCGCUUCGAGAUGGGCCCGCGGCCCAUUAGCUUGUUGGUGGGGUAAAGGCCUACCAAGGCUCCGAUGGGUAGAUGGCCUGAGAGGACGAUCAGCCACACUGGGACUGAGACACGGCCCAGACUCCUACGGGAGGCAGCAGUGGGGAAUCUUGCGCAAUGCGCGAAAGCGUGACGCAGCAACGCCGCGUGGGGGAAGACGGCCUUAGGGUUGUAAACCCCUUUCAGGAGGGACGAAGGUCGGCACGUUAAUAGCGUGUCCGACUGACGGUACCUCCACAAGGAGCCCCGGCUAACUACGUGCCAGCAGCCGCGGUAGUACGUAGGGGGC
rnacentral:rRNA from 1 species